CCGCCACAAUAUCCCAACCCUCGAACUCCCAAAGGUCCAAUGACCAAAACCUCAAUUAUUUAAUAAAUGUUAAUUUUGAUGAUGAAUUCAGUGAAUGGUUUUGCACUCUCUGAACUUAACCGGGCGCUAGAUGGUUUGUAAACUACCGUUCACCUCAACCUCUGGUCAGACCCUCGUCAACGAGGGUCCGCCACAACGUUAUCCGCCACCUCAACGUUACUGCCAACCUAUAGCUGUGAUAUUUGAUUAAUUUACCAACGAGCAGAGUUAGGUUUGAUAAAUACUAGGGGCAGGCUGCCACUGUCACCCUUUCCGGGGGUGGGCAAACGAACCUCUAAAUCCCAGGGAUAAAGGCAUCUUUAAUUCCUCCAAAGGGUUGGAAAGCUCAGCCACAACACUCUAUAGCGGAAGCUUCAUGGAACAUACAGCUGGUGCAAGAUGGAGAGAAAGUGCGAAGUCAUAUUAUUCAUUAUGUUGUUAUUAAACAAUAUCAUCACAGAUAUCAUCAUUAGACAUGAUUGCAGAUCUGUAAAUAUCAUUGCUAGAUAUCACUGCAGACAUCAUCAAUAGAUAUCAUUGAAAGAUAUCAUUAGUAGAUGUCAUCGAUAGAUGUCAUCGGUGGAUAUCAUUCAUUCAGGCAGAUCAGUAGAUAGAUAGGCAAGUAGGCAGAUAGAUAGUCAGCUACUAAGCUAGCAUUGAGAGGUAGAUGGUGAUGUUUAUUCUCAUCGAAAUUGAUUGGAUAUUGAAUAGGCAAGAUAGAUAAUUUAGGGAUAAGAAUAGAGGGGAUUUUAAGCCAACUGUGAACUAGUGUUGAAUUCAAGUCUCCACUGCAUAAAUAUAAAUUAUCACACAUUGACAUCAUUUCAGCCACAAAAUGAAGCAACAUUUCCCACCCCCCCUCAAAGCUGUUAGGCCACUGGGACAAAAGAGCUCGAUCACCACCAGCGCCAUUCUGGUGUAAAAGUAGAGCGGACGAACCAAUCCAAAACCCCCAACAAAAUAUCUAGGUUGUGUAGGACUUCCAACACUAUCUCAACGAGAACGCUCACUACAGCCAGUUACAUAAGCAUAAAGAAAGUGCAUCGCAUCUACUAAGAUGGGAUAUUGGAGAACAACAUGGAUAAAGAAUAAUACUGAGGGAUAUUGCUAGAUAUAUGUCUGGAGCUUCAUAUCAUUGCUGGAUAAUUAUAUCAUCAAUAGAUAAUUAUAUCAUCAAUAGAUAUUCAUACCAUCGAUAGAUAUCCACAUCGUCGAUAGGAGGACCAAUCGACGAGCAAUAAGAAAACCGGCGGUUUAAUUUUGCAAACCUGCGAGAAAUAGCGGUAUGAACAAAAUGGCUGACAACGGCACUUUUGGUGGUAUCCAUUGCUUGUCAGCGAUGUGUCUGACAAUAAAUAUUACACUAUAUCAUGCUGGAUAUAGGAUGCAAUUGCGGGCUUGUAUCGAGUGAUGAGGGAGGUGAGUAGAAUAUAUGGGCAGAGAGAGGGGUAGAGGGAAGAAGAGUCGGAUUAAAUUGACAAAAGGGAGUCAAAAAAGAAGGCAACCACAAAGAAAACAGGGUAUCUAUCCUCAAUAACAUCCCAGAACAAAUAUCCACCUACGCCAGAGUGAUUAAAAGCAAAAAAUGUAGGUCCUCCCAAGUUCUAAACCACGACAUAAAGACGACUGACUCACGCACGGGGAAAACUUGUCGCCUGUCUUGAGUUGAAAUACGCAAAUCAGCCGCGCCAAUUGACUUUCCAACGUACGAAGACAAUAUGGUUUUAAACUGGGUUAAAGGACAAAAGGGAAAAACAAAAAACUAGCUAAAUAUAAGAUGCAAAAAUGCGGGGCGCCAGGGAAUAUGAUCGUCAUAAGGAUCGUUGAUAUGCAUCGUGAGUUCAUGAAAAGACCUGAUUAAUGUCACUUGUCUCACACGCCUUAUUCAAGUCCCGAGACUCCUUGAGCCUGGCGAUGGCUCUGUUUACUUCCUCCUUGGCAACAGCUUGCCAUUUAGUUUUCGAUUCUACAUCUAGUGCGACGGUAGUACCGACUUUGUCGUAGAGAAAUCGUGAGAUCCGUCGAUUUAUAUCUGUGUACUCAUCUUUUGAAACACCGCGGCUUCGGUAAUGAGGUUUUAGAGCUGCGCUCACCAUUUUCUGUAGAUCUGAUUUUACGGAGAGCGAGAGGGAGGAACGUGUUGGAGAUGAUUCAUCGGAUAGCGAGCGCGAUGGCGAUGUCGAUGAGCUGUAGCCGGCUCGCCGCGUUCGGUCCAUUUGGCGGGGCAGUCGAGGUUGUUCUGCGGUCCCUGGUUCUUCUUGGUUAGGAGAGCACGAAGGUGAAAAUUCGGGAGAGGAAUAAGAUGGAUCAGAUAUCGCGGUGGGUGUGGCUGGUCUGUUGCUGUUGUUAUACGGAGGUGGUGUGGAAAAUGACGGCCGAGGUGAGGAGCGAUUGGAGGAGAGAGACGACUGCGUCGGGGAUGAUGGUCUUGGGGAGUUCGAAUCUCCUCGUGUCGACGAGAAAGCGGCUGAUCUCAACGAGCCGUUCGUCAAACCGGGGGCAGAAGAGUCCUCAACCUCCUUGAGAAGGGAUUGCAGAAAGCUUGGGCCCGUACUAGCAUUGCUAUCAGCGGGAACCCUUCCAGAAGAAGCAGAACCGUUAGCUGAUCUUCCAGAUCUGGAAGACUCACCCCCGUGAUC
rnacentral:sRNA from 2 species